rnacentral:rRNA from 1 species
AUUGAACGCUAGCGGGAUGCCUUACACAUGCAAGUCGAACGGAGUGGCGAACGGGGGAGUAAUGUAGCGGAACUUGCACAGUAGCGGGGGAUAAAUACGCGAAAGCGUAGCUAAUAACGCAUACUAUUGAAGCGGCCGAUAUCGGAUUGGCUAGUUGGGGGGGUAACGGCUCACCAAGGCGACGAUCCGUAGCUGGCCUGAGAGGACGACCAGCCACACUGGGACUGAGACACGGCCCAGACUCCUACGGGAGGCAGCAGUGGGGAAUUUUGGACAAUGGGGGAAACCCUGAUCCAGCAAUCCCGCGUGUGCGAUGAAGGCCUUCGGGUUGUAAAGCACUUUUGUCAGGAAAGCGGUACCUGCAGAAUAAGCACCGGCUAACUACGUGCCAGCCGCCGCGGUAAUAC